rnacentral:rRNA from 1 species
UUGCGAUGGGGGGACGGAGAAGGCUAGGUGGGCCAGGCGACGGUUGUCCUGGUGAAAGUGCGUAGGUGGUGUUUCUAGGCAAAUCCGGAGACACAACACUGAGACACGAGACGAACACACUACGGUGUGGAAGCCAUUGAUGCCCUGCUUCCAGGAAAAGCCUCUAAGCUUCAGAUUACAAGUCAUCGUACCCCAAACCGACACAGGUGGUCGGGUAGAGAAUACCAAGGCGC